ensembl:lncRNA
CGGAUAUCAGAAAUCCACCACGUGGUUAUCCCUGGUGAACGCUCAACUUCUGUCUAUAUAAACCUUGUGCGAUGUGUUUAUCAUGGCUUCACUUUCAUACUUGUUUUGUGAGUGAGCCCAAUUGCAAUUGUUGUUUGUCUAAUAAAUAUACUUAUAUGCAGCUCCGGAGUCCUGAGGUAACUAGGGUGAAUUUUCACCUAUCAUAUUUGGGGGCUCGUGUCCAGGAUUCCAACAACCUCAUCGACUCUCCACGCUGGGCUAAUCAUCAGGACCUGAACGGUACGGAGUACAAGACUCAGUUUUGCUAAAGACCUCCAACUUGAAUUGGAAGGAGGCCAGGGCCUGCCAGCAUGGAGAGCCGAGAGUGAAGGAAUUGAAUUAGACUAUAGGGGUUGGACUCCGAGCUGUUUGUGAGUAUAUUGUUUGUUUGUUGAAAAUGAACGCCACUAUAUGGUUCUUGUUUGUUUUGGUUUGUAUAUACUUGUCUUCAAGUGGGGUUGAGACUAACUUUUUGCAUGUUUGCUGCGGGGUGUAAAGGGGAACAACGGUUCGAAGGAGGACUUUCUUGCAUGCCUCGUGUGUUGAACGAAUUGCUAAAGUUAGAGAGAGACUCCUGUUUUGUAGUUUUCAUGUUCUUGGAGCGCUAAAAGUGCUGAAUGCUAUACUCCUCUUCACCUUCUGAUCCCCUGAUAAGGAAAAAGAGACAGAAGGGUAGCGUUCAUUUUGGAAACGACUAAAGGAUAUAAGUAAACUGAAGCCUGUUGCCAAGAAAGGUUAGCGCGCGCUAUCGGUAAUAGUACUGUUCACCUUCUUGUCCCCUGAUAAGGGAAAGAGACGGAAGGGUAUCGUUCGUUAAGGGAACGAUAAAGGUGUACACAGCGCUGAAUCACCUUAAAAGAAGGUUUCAUCUGAAGUUGAAAACUCUCUAGGCCUAUUUCUCCGGAUAUUUCUGUAUAUUUUCCUGUUCACCUUGGUUGAAGGGAACAAACUUCUCAAUUUCUGUUUUCCUGUGGGGUCCCCUGGUGGGCCUCUGGGUGCAUUGUUAAAAAGGGCUAUAAAGAAGGGUAUAGUCCGUUAUGAAUAGAUAUAUUCCUGAGGGAGACGAAUUAAAAGGGCUAUCUCCAGUCUGCUUAAGAGAUAAAGAAAAAAGAGAGAGUCAGAGAUACUCCUGUGUGUUAUUUUUCUGUGGGGUUGAGACAAACUUUUUACAAUGAGUAAAACACAGAUAAUGUAGUCAUAAUUUAUGUAAUUAAAGAUUUCGCAUUACUGAGAUGCCUUGACCCGGAACCAGUAGGGGACUGAUCACCCCAGGGAAAUUCCCUGGCCUCAACCUCCUCACCAAACGAGUGAGACGGGGGCCCUCUGGUCGGGUUCGGGUUGACUCAGCAUUGCGAUCUCAAGAACAAAUAAUGGGAAGGUAAAAUAGAAAGUAAUAAUAAGAAGGUAAAAUGGAAAGUAAAAAUAAGAAGGUCAGUGGGAAGUUAAGAAGAAGAAGAAAAAGAAAGUGAGGAAAGUGAAGUGUUAAAAUAGAAAGUAAGAAGAAAGAGACAUCUAAAAGCAAGUCUAAAAGAGUCUGAAAAUAGAAACAUAACUAACCCUAGUGUGAAGAAUAAGAUAAAGGUAAUUUAAAAGGUUUCAAGAUCAGUUAGAGGUAUUAAGAGAAAUACAUAAAAUAACUUAAAAAAUGGAAAAAAGUGCGUCAAAAUCAGAAGACGUACAUGAUAAUGGCAAUAAGAGGUGAUUUAAAAUGACUACAACAAGAAGAAAAUUGUAACACUGAUUUGAAAAUGUUUUUACAUUAUUGGUUGCGCCAAACAGAGCAAAGCUUACGUUAAUGGUGGCAAGAAAGCCAAUGAUUUUUGUUUUGUUUUGUUUUGUUUUGUGUGACUCUGAUUACUCUAAUUAGAUGCCCAGAACAGUAAGGUUGCAAAAAGAAAGAGACAUCUAAAAGCAGACUCUGAAAACAGAAGAGAUAUUUAAAAAAUACAGAUUAUGUUUCAAAAACAUGCCCUACAAACUUAUUAGGAAGAGAUGUGAUAUGGGUUGGGCAUUAGAAUUGUUCCAACAAUACAUGGCUUUUAGAAUAAAUUAAACAAUGGUGUGUCAAAGAAAUGGUGUCUCAAAAUAUUACUAUGUAUAGAAUAUACACUGUUUAGCCCCAAAAAGAUUUAAAGAGAAAUUGAAGCCUGUCACACUAACUACAUUAACCUAGACUGAUGCAUUGGACUAACACAGACUGGGUGGGGGUUGAGUGCUGGCUCAAAAGAAUAUGCUGUUCCUCCAGAUAAGAAGACCUGUAAACAACAUACCCUGGUGUUGUUAAGAUUUUUAGCAGAAACAAGGCCACAAAAUUUGCAGCUAUGGCCCACUAAAAGCUAAAGCUAUCUUUAAAAAGCACCACAGCCACAGACAAAGAAAUAAAGUAUGUCUUAGCACAUCCAGGACAUGACAAAGCCAUUCGUACAAACUGUAGACUGUAAAAAAAAGGUUAUAUAACAUCUGUGUUAAUGGAUAAGUGGGGACUUAAAGUUGAUACCAGUGGCAUACUAUUUAACACGGCUAGAUCCAGUAGCCCAAGCAAUGUCUGAAUGUUUACAAGCAGUAGUGGCUGCAGGCCUCUGCUCCUAUUGUACUAAACAGACACUUACACUGAAAGUUCCACAUGCUUACUUUUAUUUAUUUAUUUAUUUAAUUUUUUUGCUCACUCAGCCUCAUAUCAAUAUUGAGCGCUGCGUGACAUUUAACCCAGUUACACUUUUACUUACAGCAGAGAACAGAUAAAACUAUGGCAGCCAGAGCUGACCUACAAGAUAUGCCUUUUCCAGAAGCUGAUUUAACUAUUGUUUGUUGAUGGUUCAAGCAAAUAAACCUUGAACGUAUAGCCACUACUUCCACACUAUUCUGCACAAGCAGCAUAACUGAUUUCCCUGAUUGCGCAUACACACAUGCAAAAGACCCGGUUUCAUUAGGAAACCAAAAAGCUGACAAGGCCACAAACCAGGUUGCACUACAACAACCAUCAGACACGUACACAAUUGAAGAAUUAGAUCUCACAAUACUAAAAGAUAUGCUGUAAUAUUGAGCCAUGGUAAAAACAUGCCUCAAUAAGUGGGGAUAGUAAGCAUAUAUUUAUACUUCUUAUUUAUAUUUCAUGAGAAAGAUGUUUAAUCAUUCAUUAUUGAUUUUAUUGAGUUAGAUCCCAACGAAAGAAAGAAAUAUUGUCUAGCCAUAGACAGCCAUUGCUCAUACAACCCCCAGUCAGCAGGACUGGUAGAAAAGAAUGAACCAAACUAUUAAAAGUUAAUUGAGAAUCCAAGAGUGAAAUUAGUGAAAUUAAGCAUGCAUGUUGUUAUCACUGUUUGAAAUGAUGUAUGGAAGAAUCUACACUGCCUAAACUCUCAAACCAUUUGCUGAAACAGACUAAGAGAUUGAAUAUACAUUUGCAGAAUAUAUGGCAAAGAUGAUGUCCAAACUAAAUGCUCUCAGACUUCUCUCCCCUACACAGGAACACUGUGAGUUCAAGGAAUUCAAGGUUGGACCAGGAGAUUGGGUCCUAAUCAACAGCCUCAAAAGAAAACACUGCCAUUCGCCCAAAGGGGACAGACCAUAACAAGUGCUACUGUCAACACCUACCGCAGUCAAAAUAGCUGAUAGAGCCACGUGGAUACUUCUGGCUCAAUGGAAACGGGUCCAAGACUCACCAGUACCUGAGGAACGUUCCAAUGCAUUCCGUACGAGGGAGGAGAGAAGCAGGGGAUGGCAGCGGGAUCUGGUCCGAUGGCCUGGGCAUUCCCUGAGGCAUUCCAGACCACUACAAAGCCUUGAACCCAGCAGCCAAUGGCCUGGCAUCUACCCUCUGCCCCUGGUGCGUCAUCGGAGCACACACAGAUUGGAUUAACUUCCUUUACUACGCUGAGAUGAAGUUCCAAAACCUGACCAGAGACGGACUACAAAAGAUCAGAGAAGAACUACACGCCAACUCCAGGUUAACGCGGCAAAACACAACCGUGCUUGAAAUUCUCACUGCCAUGAAUGGAGGCAUUUGUGUCAUGCUUGGUACUGACCAAUGUUGCACAUAUGUCCCUGAUAACACCCGAGAUGGGAAAGACUUAGAUCUGAUCCUACAAAAGAUGCAAAAAGUUGUCCAACAGAAUGCCUGAUGGGGAACAGGGCCUUCAAGGACACAGCAAAGAAACCUUGUUCGAAUGUUAUCUGAAGCCUAGGCGAGCUAAUGACACACACACAGUCAACAUCCACUAUGUUGGCCUACAAAUGCAAAGUAUACAAAUGUGUGAUGAGAAAUAUGAUGACAUUUUAAAUGAUUAACUUAUGGAGUGAUGUUCAGUAAUGAUCUCUGUUCCGAAAAUCCAUGUGAUUAAGCUCAGAGUGAUGAUUUUGAGGUUAUCCAUUGAAAUUGAUAAUUGACGAAUUAAGAAAGAUGAUUUGUGAUUUUAAAUUUGAAUUGUGAUUUUGAUUGUGAUUCUGAAUUAUCCAUUGAAACGGAUAAAAGGACUGAUGGAGAUAAUUUCCAAACACUGUUAAUGACUUAAGAAUAUAAUAAUCAAGUGCCUUGUAUUAUUAAUUACCUUAUAUGAAUCAUGUACUUAUGUAAGCAGGAACAUGGCUUUUCUGUGUUUCUGCGUGUGUGUAACUUAGAAUAUUAGGUGCCACUUAGUCUGCACAUGUACAAGAGCAUGUUUAGACCAGAAGUGAUAAGAAGGUUCGAACUGUGCUUCUUCCGACCUUGCAAAACUUCCAUCCUUGCCUCGGAUAUCAGAAAUCCACCACGUGGUUAUCCCUGGUGAACGCUCAACUUCUGUCUAUAUAAACCUUGUGCGAUGUGUUUAUCAUGGCUUCACUUUCAUACUUGUUUUGUGAGUGAGCCC